CCUACGGGUGGCAGCAGUAGGGAAUCUUCCACAAUGGGCGAAAGCCUGAUGGAGCAACGCCGCGUGGGUGAAGAAGGUCUUCGGAUCGUAAAACCCUGUUGGUAGAGAAGAAAGUGCGCGAGAGUAACUGUUCACGUUUCGACGGUACCUAACCAGAAAGCCACGGCUAACUACGUGCCAGCAGCCGCGGUAAUACGUAGGUGGCAAGCGUUAUCCGGAAUUAUUGGGCGUAAAGGGAACGCAGGCGGUCUUUUAAGUCUAGUGUGAAAGCCCUCGGCUUAACCGGGGUAGUGCAUUGGAAACUGGGAAACUUGAGUGCAGAAGAGGAGAGUGGAACUCCAUGUGUAGCAGUGAAAUGCGUAGAUAUAUGGAGGAACACCAGUGGCGAAGGCGACUCUCUGG
rnacentral:rRNA from 1 species